CGGCCACGCGCAGUACAGGCUGUGACUACACGCGCCAGAAAACUCAAAUAAACCCCAUGAAACUCGACAGAUCUCUCAAGCUCAGCCUCGGUUCACCGUCUCACUGCUACAGCUUUUACAACCUGGGUUACACCAUCAGAAGCUGAAACUCAUCCAACAUGUGUCCAAGCAUGUAUGCCUUCCUUCGGAUUUAGAAUGAGCAGAAAUACUGCAUUUAUUCAGUGGCAUCGUGGCACUGAAGACUGCUCCUCCACUCUCUGUAACCAUAUAGGCCCACAGGCUGGGGGAAGGCUGUGUCCUGUGGGUGACGUUCUUCCUGGGGGCUAAACUAUAAAAGGAGUAGGAAAAUGAAGAGAAGCUCUCUCACUCAGUGGUGGACAGUAACAAAGUAAAUGGAAUUCGUUACUGUACUUAAGUAGUUUUUUUUUCAUGUUUCAGUACUUUACUGAAGUAUUUCCAUUUUGGGCAA